ACUGGUUGGCGGGACUUUUGAGGUAUGCCUUGGACGGCCGGGAGGUGAAAACGGCGUCCGUUUUGUUUACUUUUUGUAGCUUUAAGGAGGUAGUAGGGAAACCUUGAACGAGUCUCCGUCACUCACCCUAAGCGUAAUAAACAGCGCGGCGCGCAUUCCGUAACGGAUUGAUGGGUCAAUAUAUAAGACGAAAGAUCCACCUUCUUCUUCUCCGGAGACGAAGUGGCAGUGGAGCUCGCAGACUGCAACCAAGUGCGGAAGGUACGCAAUGAUGACUCCCUCGCUCUCGCGUACGUAGCGCACUCAUUGGGCCUCUACCCCUACGGGGCCUCUAGGCGGAGGGAGAAGCGGGAGCGGAAGAAGCGCGACGACGAGAGGUGAAGGGACCGUCCCUCUGUCGCCGGCUCGAAGUAUCAUCUAGUCCUCAGAGAACCAGUCGUUCCUCUCCAGGUCCUGCUUCGAUACCGUGUCGACCACGUGAGGGCCUACGAGUUCCUGCAGUGGUGGUCACUGAUGCCGUGGAUGCUGGGUUGGGGCAGGUACGUCUUCGGGGUGAAGUUCGAGUAUGGGUUGACUUGUGUGGGAUGGACUAUACUAUACUAGGUAGAUAUAUAGAUGCAGGUACACUUACAUAUACAUCUAUAUAACUAGCUCCAUAAAAUUUUAUCAAACCGAUUAUACUAUUGACUAUAAACAUUCAAGAACAUCUGCACUCCACUCAUGCAUGCACUGUUUCUUGAAUCAACGAACUGGAUAAAUAUGUGAUAUGAAGCUCAUAUAUGUGUAUAAACGU
rnacentral:rRNA from 1 species